ACACGUAGGGGGCGAGCGUUGUUCGGAAUCAUUGGGCGUAAAGGGCGUGCAGGCGGUCCUGCAAGUCCGGCGUGAAAGACCCCGGCCCAACCGGGGGGACGCGCUGGAAACUGCGGGGCUUGAGGACAGGAGAGGAUGCCGGAAUUCCAGGUGUAGGGGUGAAAUCUGUAGAUAUCUGGAAGAACACCAAUGGCGAAGGCAGGCAUCUGGCCAUGUACUGACGCUGAGACGCGAAGGUGCGGGGAGCAAACAGGUUUAGAUACCCUGGUAGUCCGCACAGUAAACGAUGUGCACCAGGUGGCGGGGGGUCGACCCUCGGUACCGUAGCUAACGCAUUAAGUGCACCGCCUGGGGAGUAUGCUCGCAAGGGUGAAACUCAAAUGAAUUGGCGGGG
rnacentral:rRNA from 1 species